rnacentral:misc_RNA from 1 species
UAACUAUGUACACCCAAGGCUCAAGGUCUUGGAAGCAUAUAGGAGAGCACUUCUGACUUGGGCCAGAUGGGUUGACAAGAACAUAGACAGCAAUCAAACCCUUGUUUUUUUCAGAGGAUACUCAGUUACCCAUUUCAGAGGUGGACAGUGGAAUUCAGGAGGGCAGUGUCACAAAGAAACAGAGCCAAUAUUUAAUGCAGCUUACUUAGCAAAGUACCCUUCC